rnacentral:rRNA from 1 species
CCUACGGGCGGCAGCAGUGGGGAAUAUUGGACAAUGGGGGGAACCCUGAUCCAGCCAUGCCGCGUGUGUGAAGAAGGCCCUCGGGUUGUAAAGCACUUUCAGUGAGGAAGAACGCCUGGUGGUUAAUACCCAUCAGGAAAGACAUCACUCACAGAAGAAGCACCGGCUAACUCCGUGCCAGCAGCCGCGGUAAUACGGAGGGUGCGAGCGUUAAUCGGAAUUACUGGGCGUAAAGCGCGCGUAGGUGGCUUGAUAAGCCGGUUGUGAAAGCCCCGGGCUCAACCUGGGAACGGCAUCCGGACCUGUCAAGCUAGGGUGCAGGAGAGGAAGGUAGAAUUCCCGGUGUAGCGGUGAAAUGCGUAGAGAUCGGGAGGAAUACCAGUGGCGAGGCGGCCUUCUGGACUGACACUGACACUGAGGUGCGAAAGCGUGGGUAGCAAACAGGAUUAGAUACCCUUGUAGUC